rnacentral:rRNA from 2 species
GAUUAAGCCAUGCAUGUGUAAGUAUAAAUAUUCUACUUUGAAACUGCGAAUGGCUCAUUAUAUCAGUUAUAGUUUAUUUGAUGAAAUGUACUACUUGGAUAACCGUAGUAAUUCUAGAGCUAAUACAUGAUCAAUUCCUCGACUUUGAAGAGGUGUAUUUAUUAGAAUGAAAACCAAUAGACUCUGUCUGUUUGUGAGUAAUAAUAACUUGUCAUAUCGCAUGCUUAGGUAGCGAUGUGUCUUUUAAGUUUCUGCCCUAUCAGCUUUCGAUGGUAGUGUAUUGGACUACCAUG